AGAGUUUGAUCAUGGCUCAGGAUGAACGCUAGCUACAGGCUUAACACAUGCAAGUCGAGGGGAAACGACAUCGAAAGCUUGCUUUUGAUGGGCGUCGACCGGCGCACGGGUGAGUAACGCGUAUCCAACCUGCCCACCACUUGGGGAUAACCUUGCGAAAGUAAGACUAAUACCCAAUGACGUCUCUAGAAGACAUCUGAAAGGGAUUAAAGAUUUAUCGGUGAUGGAUGGGGAUGCGUCUGAUUAGCUUGUGGCGGGGUAACGGCCACCAAGGCUACGAUCAGUAGGGGUUCUGAGNGGAAGGUCCCCACAUUGGAACUGAGACACGGUCCAAACUCCUACGGAGGCA
rnacentral:rRNA from 1 species